rnacentral:rRNA from 1 species
GACGAACGCUGGCGGCGUGCUUAACACAUGCAAGUCGAACGGAAAGGCCCUUCGGGGUACUCGAGUGGCGAACGGGUGAGUAACACGUGGGUGAUCUGCCCUGCACUUUGGGAUAAGCCUGGGAAACUGGGUCUAAUACCGAAUAGGACCACGCGCUUCAUGGUGUGUGGUGGAAAGCUUUUGCGGUGUGGGAUGGGCCCGCGGCCUAUCAGCUUGUUGGUGGGGUAAUGGCCUACCAAGGCGACGACGGGUAGCCGGCCUGAGAGGGUGACCGGCCACACUGGGACUGAGAUACGGCGCAGACUCCUACGGGAGGCAGCAGUGGGGAAUAUUGCACAAUGGGCGCAAGCCUGAUGCAGCGACGCCGCGUGAGGGAUGACGGCCUUCGGGUUGUAAACCUCUUUCACCAGGGACGAAGCGUAAGUGACGGUACCUGGAGAAGAAGCACCGGCCAACUACGUG